GUUGCUCCGGCGGCGCGCGGGAAGGGAGCCAGCAGCCUAGGGCCCAGGCCCGGGCCACCAUGGCGCUGCCUCCGGGCCCAGCCGCCCUCCGGCACCAGCACCUUCACUGUCACUGCCCAUCGGGCCCAGCAUGAGCUCAACUGCUCCCUGCAGGACCCCAGCAGUGGCCGAUCAGCCAACGCCUCUGUCAUCCUUAAUGUGCAAUUCAAGCCAGAGAUUGCCCAAGUCGGCGCCAAGUACCAGGAAGCUCAGGGCCCAGGCCUCCUGGUUGUCCUGUUUGCCCUGGUGCGUGCCAACCCGCCUGCCAAUGUCACCUGGAUCGACCAGGAUGGGCCAGUGACUGUCAACACCUCUGACUUCCUGGUGCUGGAUGCGCAGAACUACCCCUGGCUCACCAACCACACGGUGCAGCUGCAGCUCCGCAGCCUGGCACACAACCUCUCGGUGGUGGCCACCAAUGACGUGGGUGUCACCAGUGCGUCGCUUCCAGCCCCAGGGCUUCUGGCUACCCGGGUGGAAGUGCCACUGCUGGGCAUUGUUGUGGCUGCUGGGCU
rnacentral:sRNA from 1 species